AAUAUUUAGCAAUUGCCCACCUUGUAAAAUGUAUUGAGAUAAACCAUUUUAAUCUAGCAGUCUUUGAAGGCACAGUGAUUACUGCCAUUUUACAGAUAAAGGAACCAAAGCUUGAAGAGUUUAAAUAAGCAAUGAAUUCGUUAAUUUCACAUUGAUUUUGGCUGAAUUCUUUUAAGAGGUAGUUUUAGACCCUGAGCUUAAAUUUGUCAGCACAUUUAGUAUUGAAUACUUUCACGUUGAAUUUUUAUAAAUCACAUGAAAUCUCGCUAACGUUUUUGAGCAAAUCAUCUCAGAUUCCUACUCUGGCCCAUGAAUACAGCCAGUUCUGUUUUGUUGUUGAAUGUCACCGUGUUACCCGGGGUGUAGGAGAAAAAUUCUUGACUGGCUAGAGUGGGUGCUUCGUCUCAUCUUCACCCCUUUCUCCGAGUGGGGAUGAAACCUUGGUUUGUCUGACCCAUGUGCUAAACUACUCUGCUCUCCUGCAUUCUAGUUUCUGUAAGAAUUCUUAUCAGUGGGCCGGGCGCGGUGGCUCACGCCUGUAAUUCCAGCUCUUUGGGAGGCCCAGGUGGGCGAAUCACGAGGUCAGGAGAUCCAGACUGUCCUGACUAACACGGUGAAACCCCGUCUCUACUAAAAAUACAAAAAACUAGCCGGGCGUGGUGGCGGUGCCUGUAGUCCCAGCUACUCGGGAGGCUGAGGCAGGAGAAUGGCGGGAACCCGGGAGGCGGAGCUUGCAGUGAGCCGAGAUGGCGCCGCUCACUCCAGCCUGGGCGACAGAGAGAGACUCCGUCUCCCCCCACAACAAAGCAGAAUUUAGAUCAGUGUGCCAAUUACAAGUAAAGCCCCUCGGGAAGCUGGGUGAUGCCAUGCAUUAUAGAUCUACGAAUUCCAGCGCACGUACAUCAUGUGUUGACCGCGGCAUUUCAGUUCCUGAUGGAAGAGCUUACCGAUAACAUACGGUGUUUUUAUCCCACCGUUUGGGGCCAUGUGCUGGGCCUACAGGAAACCUGGAAAAAAAGGAAAUUAGAAAACAAAGCAAAAAAAAAAAUCAAUAUCCGUUCACCUCUUUGCUCACAGUCAGUAUCACGAAUCAGUUGCUAGGUAGCUUUGCAUUUUGGCAACUGGGUUCAUUUCACCAUCGACACAAAUGGUUUGUUGGAGGAAGCUGCGGCUGAGUUUCCGGUCUGUCAGGCGACUCCGCCAUUGCUCAGUUCGAAUCAAAGGAGGGGAGGAUGUCUCCUCUCCUCUGAAUGUUCUCAAGUUACAAAAACAAAUGUUUAAAAGAAAAAAAGAAGACCGGGGGUCCAGAUGGGGGACACGUUUUUCCUCAUUGCACUUGCAUGUGAGAACUUAGGUAUCACAAGAAUAAACAAAAUGUCUCAGGAAAACAUGGCAACAGGCUGACCCAUUUUAAAAGGGCCGAUGCAUUUCAGGUCCACAGUAAGUUGAGCAGGCCAGUGCCGUGAGAGAGUCCUGUGAGAAAAGACUAGAUGGAAUUCUUUAUAAAAGCACGAGAAAAUAUUCUGACCACUUUUAGUAGAUUCAUGUAUGUGCCAUUACUUAGAAGAUUUGUUUUCUAAAAAACAAGUGAAUUAGAUUUCCAAAUCACCCUUAGCAGGUAUAUGUGGACCUGGCAUACUAGAUAGGCUUUAGGGCAUUAGGUGUGCUAAGCACCCUGAGUUUAAAAAAAAAAAAAAAAA
rnacentral:lncRNA from 1 species